AGCGCGGCUCUUGCUGGCUUUGGCGGGAGGUGGGGGAAGUGACAGAGGCCAUCCCUCUGUCCCUUCCCCUACCUCCCGCCAAAGCCAGCAAGAGCCGCGCU